rnacentral:lncRNA from 1 species
CCGCUCCCGCUUCUCCCACCACACUUCCCUGCAAGCUGAGAGAAGCGGCUCUGGCCUUGGGCAGCCCAGAAAGGGGCUCCCUCAGUGCAGCGGUGGGCUGAAGGGCUCCUCAAGUGCCGCCAAAGUGGGAGCCCAGGCAGAGGAGGCGCCCAGAGCGAGCGAGGGCUGUGAGGACUGCCAGCACGCUGUCACCUCUCAGAACUAUUUACUCAGAAUGAGUGAAGAGACAGUCUUGCUCUGUUGCCCAGGCCGGAGUGGAGUGGCACAGUCAUAAUUCCCUGUACCCUUGAAAUCCUGAGCUCAAGCCAUCUCCAUACCUUAGCCUCCCAAGUGGCUACUACAGGACUGACUGAUAGUAUUUUCCUUUGGAAGAUCCUUUUAUAUUCUGUCUCUAUGAAAGAAGUGUUUUCAAUGAAAUAAGGCAAAGGAGCCUCAGCCCAUGGCCAUAAAGGAGCCUUAACCCAUGGCCACCACCACCGUAGGCCCAUGAAGAAUACUGCCAGGCUCAUUGGUAUUCCUUAAAGACCACGGGCACUUUACUCGACCUAUGAAUAAGCGGAUUUGAAGAAAUUCUUAUUCAAGAGGAAGUCAA